rnacentral:tRNA from 1 species
GAAGCAGUAGCUCAGGGGUAGAGCAUAACAGCGGUGGAAUUACCUUCUCGGGUCAACCGGCGCUUACUUCCAAAUUUUAGGGUCGUUGGUUCGAAUCCAACCUGCUUCA